GAUUUAAUUAGUUUAUUUUAUUAAAACAUCAAUCUGUGGCAUUGAAAAAAGUAGCUUAAACCUACUAUUAAAUC
rnacentral:tRNA from 1 species